CUUCGGCGGCGCGGCCCCCCUCACGGGGGCGCCGCAGCCCCGCCUCUCCGGAGGUGUGGGGCGCCCGCCGGAGGUACGAAACUCUGUAUUAUAG
rnacentral:rRNA from 1 species